GACAGAGGGUGCAAACGUUGUUCGGAAUUACUGGGCGUAAAGCGCGUGUAGGCGGCUUUGCAAGUCGGGCGUGAAAUCCCAUGGCUCAACCAUGGAAGUGCACUCGAAACUGCAGAGCUAGAGUCCUGGAGAGGAAGGUGGAAUGCUUGGUGUAGAGGUGAAAUUCGUAGAUAUCAAGCGGAACACCGGUGGCGAAGGCGGCCUUCUGGACAGUGACUGACGCUGAGACGCGAAAGCGUGGGGAGCAAACAGG
rnacentral:rRNA from 1 species